rnacentral:lncRNA from 1 species
UAAUUUUGACAGCCAACCAACAUAAAUUAACGGUUUUAAAUUUUGCAGUGCAAUUACUCUUAUACCCUCUCAUUUUGUCUUUUAAUUUCUCAAAAAUUCUCAGCCACCCACCACCAAAAUCAAAAAGUGGAGACGAUGAUUUCCCUACCACCAUCACCAUCGAUCCCCUCCCGUCGAAAGGAUACACCAUCGCCGCCACCACCACCACCAUUCGGGUUUAUGUUAUAAUGAGUUGUUGUCGUUUGGUGGUGUGACGGGAUUUGGACAGUUGUUGGUGGUGGGAUGGGAUUUGGAUGAUUUUUAGAAGAUGAUGAAGAUAAAUAUUGCUGAAU